GACGAACGCUGGCGGCGUGGAUUAGGCAUGCAAGUCGAACGGUAUCAUCCUUUCGGGGGUGAGAGAGUGGCGAACUGGUGAGUAACACGUAGGUUAUCUACCCUCAAGACGGGGACAACCCAGGGAAACUUGGGCUAAUACCGGAUGUGAGCAACUUUUAGUUGUUUGAAAGGUGGCGUAAGCUGUCGCUUGGGGAUGAGCCUGCGUCCUAUUAGUUAGUUGGUGAGGUAACGGCUCACCUAGGCAAUGAUAGGUAGGCGGCCUUAACGGGUGGUCGCCCACACUGGGAUUGAGAUACGGCCCAGACUCCUACGGGAGCAGCAGUCGAGAAUAGUCUACAAUGGUCGGAAGACUGAUAGUGCGACGCCGCGUGAACGAUGAAUCCCUUCGGGGUGUAAAGUUCUUUUAUAUGUGAGCAGUGCUUCUUAUAUUAACAGUAUGGGGAGAGAGAUAUUAGCAUAUGAAUAAGCAACGGCUAACUCCGUGCCAGCAGCCCGCGGUAAACUCG
rnacentral:rRNA from 1 species